GAUGAAGAACGUAGCGAAAUGCGAUAAGUAAUGUGAAUUGCAGAAUUCAGUGAAUCAUCGAAUCUUUGAACGCACAUUGCGCCCCUUGGUAUUCCGGGGGGCAUGCCUGUUCGAGCGUCAUUAUAACCCUCAAGCCUAGCUUGGUGUUGGAGCAUGCUACCUAAGCAGCUCUUAAAAUCAGUGGCAGUGCACUUCGGCUCUAAGCGUAGUAACUUCUCUCGCUAUGGAACCCGGAGGGUACGCGCCAGAACCCCCAACUUUCUAUGGUUGACCUCGGAUCAGGUAGGGAUACCCGCUGAACUUAAGCAUAUCAAUAAGCGGAGGA
rnacentral:misc_RNA from 1 species